rnacentral:rRNA from 1 species
UACGUAGGGUGCGAGCGUUUGUCCGGAAUUAUUGGGCGUAAAGAGCUUGUAGGUGGUUUGUCGCGUCUGCUGUGAAAAUCCGAGGCUCAACCUCGGACUUGCAGUGGGUACGGGCAGACUAGAGUGUGGUAGGGGAGACUGGAAUUCCUGGUGUAGCGGUGGAAUGCGCAGAUAUCAGGAAGAACACCAACGGGCGAAGGCAGCUCGCUGGGACGGUAC